rnacentral:rRNA from 1 species
GACGAACGCGGCGGCGUGCCUAAUACAUGCAAGUAGAACGCUGAAGGAGGAGCUUGCUCUUCUGGAUGAGUUGCGAACGGGUGAGUAACGCGUAGGUAACCUGCCUGGUAGCGGGGGAUAACUAUUGGAAACGAUAGCUAAUACCGCAUAACAUUGACUAUUGCAUGAUAGUCAAUUGAAAGGUGCAAAUGCACCACUACCAGAUGGACCUGCGUUGUAUUAGCUAGUUGGUGGGGUAACGGCUCACCAAGGCGACGAUACAUAGCCGACCUGAGAGGGUGAUCGGCCACACUGGGACUGAGACACGGCCCAGACUCCUACGGGAGGCAGCAGUAGGGAAUCUUCGGCAAUGGACGGAAGUCUGACCGAGCAACGCCGCGUGAGUGAAGAAGGUUUUCGGAUCGUAAAGCUCUGUUGUAAGAGAAGAACGAGUGUGAGAGUGGAAAGUUCACACUGUGACG